UACAGAGGUCUCGAGCGUUAGGCGGAAUCACUGGGCUUAAAGCGUGUGUAGGCGGAUCGUUAAGUGCCUUGUGAAAUCCCACGGCUCAACCGUGGAACUGCUGGGUAUACUGGCGAUCUUGAGCCACCUAGGGGCGAGCGGAACAAGCGGUGGAGCGGUGAAAUGCGUAGAUAUCGCUUGGAACGCCGACGGUGAAAACAGCUCGCUGGGGUGUGCUGACGCUGAGACACGAAAGCCAGGGGAGCGAACGGG
rnacentral:rRNA from 1 species